rnacentral:rRNA from 1 species
GACGAACGCUGGCGGCGUGCUUAACACAUGCAAGUCGAACGGAAAGGCCCUUCGGGGUACUCGAGUGGCGAACGGGUGAGUAACACGUGGGUGAUCUGCCCUGCACUUUGGGAUAAGCCUGGGAAACUGGGUCUAAUACCGAAUAGGACCACGCGCUUCAUGGUGUGUGGUGGAAAGCUUUUGCGGUGUGCGAUGGGCCCGCGGCCUAUCAGCUUGUUGGUGGGGUAAUGGCCUACCAAGGCGACGACGGGUAGCCGGCCUGAGAGGGUGACCGGCCACACUGGGACUGAGAUACGGCCCAGACUCCUACGGGAGGCAGCAGUGGGGAAUAUUGCACAAUGGGCGCAAGCCUGAUGCAGCGACGCCGCGUGAGGGAUGACGGCCUUCGGGUUGUAAACCUCUUUCAAUAGGGACGAAGCGCAAGUGACGGUACCUAUAGAAGAAGCACCGGCCAACUACGUG